rnacentral:lncRNA from 1 species
GUUAAAAUUACAAGAUUUUACUGCAUUUGGGUAAAAUAAAUAUAAAUUUCAUCACAGUUUUUAUUGGUGAAAUAAUUUUUGAGUGGCAUGUGUUACAUGAAAUUCAUAAAGUAUUUUAUGGGGAAAAUAUUAGCAAGAGAUAUUCUAUAGAGUAUGUCAAUUACUUAAACUUAUUCUAAAGAAUGAUAAAAUGCUUUUCCUUCUUUGUACAAGACUAACAUUAGUACUUUCUACCAUCUUCUCCUAACCAGUAAUGGUAUAUAGCAGGAUAUUAAAUCAGAGAUAUUCCUGUAAGACACAGAUUUCUCUAAGGAACAACUUUGCCUCAAGGACUCAUCAGGGACCAGCACUGUGGUACACUGAGCUACACUGCCACCUACAACUCUGGUAUCCCCUAUCAGAACACUGGCUCAAGUCCUGGCUCCUCCACUUCCAAUCCAGUUCCCUGUUAAUGCACCUGGGAAAGCAGUGGGAGAUACUUCAAAUAUUCCAGCUGAUGCGACUCACUUGGGAGACCUGGCUCCUGGCUUUAGCCUGGAGCAGCACUUGCCAUUGCAGCCAUUUGUGGAGGAAAGCAACAGAUGAAAGCUCACUCUCUUUCUCUCUCUCUCUCUCUCUCUCUCUCUCUCUCUCUCUCUCUCUCCCUUUCUAUCUCCCUCUCUCUUUCUCUCUCCCUCCCUCCAUUUGGGUGUCAGUUCAUGUCCUGAUUGCUUCCCUUCUGAUCCAGCUCCCUGAUAAUGUGCCUGAGAAAGCAGUGGAGGAUGGCCCAAGUGCUUGGGCCUCUGCACCCACAUGGGAGAUCCAGAAGAAGUUCCUGGCUCCUGGCUUCAGCCUAGCCCAGCCCAGCCUCACCCCAGUCUGGGUAAUAUUCCACUGUCUUCUUGGGCACAUUAGCAGAGAGCUGGAUCAGAUACAGAGCUGGCAAGACUCAAACUAUUAUUCUGAUAUGACAUGCUCACAUGUCAAGUGGUGGCUUAACCCACUGUGUCACAACGCAAGCCCCAAUUGUUUUGUUUUUAAUGUAUAGAGAUUAUAGCCUGGAUAAAUGACAAUUUCU